rnacentral:rRNA from 1 species
GUAGUCAUAUGCUUGUCUCAAAGAUUAAGCCAUGCAUGUCUAAGUAUAAGCACUCAUACUGUGAAACUGCGAAUGGCUCAUUAAAUCAGUUAUCGUUUAUUUGAUAGUACCUUUACCUGGAUAACCGUGGUAAUUCUAGAGCUAAUACAUGCUAAAAACCCCAACUUCGGGAGGGGUGUAUUUAUUAGAUAAAAAACCAAUGCCCUCUGGGCUCCUUGGUGAUUCAUAAUAACUUAACGAAUCGCAUGGCCUUGCGCCGGCGAUGGUUCAUUCAAAUUUCUGCCCUAUCAACUUUUCGAUUGUUAGGAUAGAGGCCUACUAAUUGGUCUUAACGGGGUAACGGGGAAUUAGGGAUCGACUCCGGAGAGGGAGCCUGAGAAACGGCUACCACAUCCAAGGAAGGCAGCAGGCGCGCAAAUUACCCAAUGCUAAUUCAGCGAGGUAGUGACAAUAAAUACUGAUACGGGGCUCUUUCGGGUCUCGUAAUUGGAAUGAGUACAAUCUAAAUCCCUUAACGAGGAACAAUUGGAGGGCAAGUCUGGUGCCAACAGCC